UACGGAGGGUGCGAGCGUUGUCCGGAAUCACUGGGCGUAAAGGGCGCGUAGGCGGCUCGUGAAGUCAGUGGUGAAAGCCCAGGGCUCAACUCUGGGUCGGCCACUGAUACUCGCGAGCUCGAGUUUGGUAGAGGCAGAUGGAAUUCCGGGUGUAGCGGUGGAAUGCGUAGAUAUCAAGUGGAACACCAGUGGCGAAGGCGAGUCCCUGGACAUUUCCUGACACUGAGGCACGAAAGCUAGGGGAGCAAACAGG
rnacentral:rRNA from 1 species